UGACUGUAGGAAUUUAAAAAUAAGAAGAUAAUACUUGUGUCCAGAAAUUAUUAAUAUGGCUACAUUGAGACACAGGUUAUGCUUCCAUAACAGUGAUUAUUGCAGUGGGACAAUGAGACUUGUAACAUUU